rnacentral:rRNA from 1 species
CUCCAGACUCCUACGGGAGGCAGCAGUGGGGGAUAUUGCACAAUGGGGGAAACCCUGAUGCAGCGACGCCGCGUGGGCGAAGAAGUAUUUCGGUAUGUAAAGCCCUCUCAGCAGGGAAGAAGAAAUGACGGUACCUGAGUAAGAAGCCCCGGCUAACUACGUGCCAGCAGCCGCGGUAAUACGUAGGGGGCAAGCGUUAUCCGGAUUUACUGGGUGUAAAGGGAGCGUAGACGGAUAAGCAAGUCUGAUGUGAAAAUCCGGGGCCCAACCCCGGAAUUGCAUUGGAAACUGCAUAUCUAGAGUGUCGGAGAGGCAAGUGGAAUUCCUAGUGUAGCGGUGAAAGGCGUAGAUAUCAGGAGGAACACCAGUGGCGAAGGCGGCUUGCUGGACGAUGACUGACGUUGAGGCUCGAAAGCGUGGGGAGCAAACAGGAUUAGAUACCCGAGUACA